rnacentral:rRNA from 1 species
GGACCCGCACAAGUAGUGGAGCAUGUGGUUUAAUUCGAAGAUACGCGCAGAACCUUACCAACACUUGACAUGUUCGUCGCGACUUUAAGAGAUUAAAGUUUUCGGUUCGGCCGGACGAAACACAGGUGCUGCAUGGCUGUCGUCAGCUCGUGUCGUGAGAUGUUGGUUAAGUCCCGCAACGAGCGCAACCCUCACUUUUAGUUGCCAUCAUUAAGUUGGGCACUCUGAAAGAACUGCCAGUGAUAAGCUGGAGGAAGGUGGGGAUGACGUCAAGUCCUCAUGGCCCUUACGUGUUGGGCUACACACGUGCUACAAUGGUAUCUACAACAGGAAGCAAGACGGCGACGUUAAG